rnacentral:sRNA from 12 species
AACCGCACCCCACGGUGAAAAAUACACUGAUAAAGAAGUGCUGGUAGACAUACACACGUAUGGCCGAAGGCAGGGACUUAGGAAAAGCAGACAA